ACCUGCGUACCACUAGCGGGACCAUGACUGUUAAUCAGGGGGUCGUUGGUUCGAGUCCAACUUCGGGCGCCA
rnacentral:tRNA from 1 species